GUCGAAGCGGAUUGGUCAAGCAGGGGAAGCCAUGGCGGACCAUAGCAACAAAAGCUAUCUAAACCAUGCAAUAUUCAUUUAAUCAAUGAGGAACUGACUCUAACAUCUACCUGUCCCUGGAGUAAUGUCAAGGCGAGCAGCAGGGUCCAGCACUUUCAUGUCCUUCAGGAGUGGAUGGUCAAGAGGAAAGGAGGAGAACAUCUUCUGAAGCACUGCUUCAUAGAAUCUUCUCACAGAUCUACAACAGCAUAAGGGGAGCUCUUUCCUUGCCAUGAACGCCUUUGUUUCUGCUCCUAUAAAGAGCUCUUCGUCAGGCAACUGAUGUGCUUCUCCAUACUCCACCUCCUUGAGAGGUACACCCAUGAUGGCCCUGGCUGGUAUGAGGAACCCCAGGAU